rnacentral:rRNA from 1 species
GAUGAACGCUAGCGGCAGGCCUAAUACAUGCAAGUCGAGGGGUAUGGGUUGCUUGCAACCCAGAGACCGGCGCACGGGUGCGUAACGCGUAUGCAAUCUACCUUAAUCAGGGGGGUAGCCCGGAGAAAUCCGGAUUAACACCGCAUAACAUUGAGUUGUGGCAUCACAGUUCAAUCAAAUAUUUAUAGGAUUAAGAUGAGCAUGCGUGACAUUAGUUAGUUGGUGAGGUAACGGCUCACCAAGACCACGAUGUCUAGGGGAUCUGAGAGGAUGACCCCCCACACUGGUACUGAGACACGGACCAGACUCCUACGGGAGGCAGCAGUAAGGAAUAUUGGUCAAUGGGCGCAAGCCUGAACCAGCCAUGCCGCGUGCAGGAAGACGGCCCUAUGGGUUGUAAACUGCCUUUGUACCGGAAUAAACCUUCUCUUGCGAGAGAAGCUGAACGUACGGUAAGAAUAAGGAUCGGCUAACUCCGUG